rnacentral:rRNA from 1 species
CGGUGGUGUGAGAUGGAUCCGCGUCUGAUUAGCCAGUUGGCGGGGUAACGGCCCACCAAAGCGACGAUCAGUAGCCGACCUGAGAGGGUGACCGGCCACAUUGGGACUGAGACACGGCCCAAACUCCUACGGGAGGCAGCAGUGGGGAAUAUUGCACAAUGGGCGAAAGCCUGAUGCAGCGACGCCGCGUGAGUGAAGAAGUAUUUCGGUAUGUAAAGCUCUAUCAGCAGGGAAGAAAAUGACGGUACCUGACUAAGAAGCCCCGGCUAACUACGUGCCAGCAGCCGCGGUAAUACGUAGGGGGCAAGCGUUAUCCGGAUUUACUGGGUGUAAAGGGAGCGUAGACGGCGAAGCAAGUCUGAAGUGAAAACCCAGGGCUCAACCCUGGGACUGCUUUGGAAACUGUUUUGCUGGAGUGUCGGAGAGGUAAGUGGAAUUCCUAGUGUAGCGGUGAAAUGCGUAGAUAUUAGGAGGAACACCAGUGGCGAAGGCGGCUUACUGGACGAUAACUGACGUUGAGG